rnacentral:rRNA from 1 species
GACGGGGGGGGCAAGUGUUCUUCGGAAUGACUGGGCGUAAAGGGCACGUAGGCGGUGAAUCGGGUUGAAAGUGAAAGUCGCCAAAAAGUGGCGGAAUGCUCUCGAAACCAAUUCACUUGAGUGAGACAGAGGAGAGUGGAAUUUCGUGUGUAGAGGUGAAAUUCGUAGAUAUUCGGAAGAACACCAGUGGCGAAGGCGACCUACUGGACACAUAUUGACGCUGAGGUGCGAAAGCGUGGGGAGCAAACAGG